UUGGACUAAUUUUCUUGGGUUUAAUAGGGAUUGGACCAAGGAAUCUCGUUGAUCUAAGAAAAGGAAGCAAACUAAUUAAGUAUCAUGAAACAAGCUACAGACUACAAUUGACCAAAACAAAGGAAUAAUGGAACAAAGAAUUUUGUUGACUAAAUAGGGAACCAAGAGACGAGAUAUAAAUGGAAUAAGGUUCUAACCAUAGAAGCAAAGUUAAGCUACUUGUUGACUAAAAGGGAAAGCUGCAAAAUGCAGCAAGGUUGUGAGCUGCCAGCCCAACGCCAAACUAGGUGUCCAAAUUUUCUGAACAAACAAGAUGUGCGCGGUGGUGGCGCAACGCCUCCUUUGCAGAUUCCAACUGAAGCAGCCUUUUUAAAGGCAUUUCAGGAUGGAGAACAUUGGUCGGAACAAAGUUCUUGGGAGUUACAAAGAAGGGAAAGCUCCUACUCCAUAAAUGCUACUUUGAAGUCAGUACGAAAAGCAUUGCUUGGUAAAUUUGGUUCAUUAUAUACAUUUCCUAAAUCUCCAACAACAUAAAAUUUUACAUUUUUGAAGAAAAAUCUCAAGAAUAUCUCAAGAACUCAAGUCUUGAAAAUUCUAGGGUUUGACAAAGAGGUACUAAUUUCAUUCCAAUCUUAUACUUUAUGUUCCAUGGGUUUCAUAGACUACAUAUUUGAAGAAAGAGAUUUAAACGAUUCAUGAAACCCUAGAAAGCUAGUCUUGAAAUUGGAAAGUUUGUUGGUAGCGAUGAUGAAUAGUGAUGAGUUUUGUUUAAACAAUUUUGUUUGGGGAUUCUAGUGGAGUGACUAGAUUCCAUAACACGUGUAAUGGAGGAAUUGGAGUUAAAAUUUAAGGAUUUGCCUUUUGAAUUGGAAAAUAGGGAUUUUCACUACACUAGUGAAGUUGGAUUUAAGCGCUGGACACUUAGUAUUAUUGUGACGUGUUAAUGAAUUAUGUGAGCUCGUAUACGUAGAUUGUGAAUUGUUGGCGUCGUGACUCUUUUUUUUUUCUUUUUUUUUCUUGAGAAGGUAACAGUUGGCGUCGUGGAUCUUUUGGUGGCAAGAAUUGGAAAGCGAUUCAAGGUAUGUUGAAACUUACUACCUUAUGAAGCUUUUUCCCAAAAUUCAUAUUGUUGAAUUGCUUUUUGAAAAUGGUUUAAUGUGAAUCCUAGCUUGUGAGGGCAAGCGGAUUGGGGUUGCACUUUUUUUUUUUUUUUAAAAGGGAAGUGUAUGUUUUUGGAAGCCUUUGCAUAUUGAAAUAGCGCUUGGCUAUGACUCUAUUUUGGAAAUGUCAAAUAUUUUGGAGGUUACUAUUGGAGACAUCCGCCUGUGUGAGCUCGCUCACAUUGCCGGUCCCAAGCCCGGAUAAAGGAGGAGGGUUGCCGAGGGUCAAUCGGAAACAGCCUCCCUACCCAGGUAGGGGUAAGGCUGCGUACAUCUUACCCUCCCCAGACCCCACUAUUGUGAGAUUACACUGGGUAGUGACCAAGACCAAGACUAUUGGAGACAUCCGAGAUUGGUUCGAAUAUUAUAUUUGUUACCAUGGAACUACAUGUGCUGGUGUAGGGACACAUUCCAAGACUAUGCUAAGGUUUGUGGCAAGAAGUCCCCAUUGAGAGGGCAAACGAUUAUUGCUUAAUGUAAUAAGGUUAAGUCGACUUGUACGGCACUAUGGGAAGCCGUCGGAACAAGUAGGGUCAAAUACUUGUGACUAAGUUGAUCACAUAAUGUUCUUUCUACUUACGCCAUGUCGGUAUAGUGCUCCCGGUAAAUGAUAAAA